GACGAACGCUGGCGGCGUGCUUAACACAUGCAAGUCGAACGGAAAGGCCCUGCUUGCAGGGUACUCGAGUGGCGAACGGGUGAGUAACACGUGGGUGAUCUGCCCUGCACUUCGGGAUAAGCCUGGGAAACUGGGUCUAAUACCGGAUAGGAGCCAUUUUUAGUGUGAUGGUUGGAAAGUUUUUUCGGUGUAGGAUGAGCUCGCGGCCUAUCAGCUUGUUGGUGGGGUAAUGGCCUACCAAGGCGGCGACGGGUAGCCGGCCUGAGAGGGUGGACGGCCACAUUGGGACUGAGAUACGGCCCAGACUCCUACGGGAGGCAGCAGUGGGGAAUAUUGCACAAUGGGCGCAAGCCUGAUGCAGCGUCGCCGCGUGGGGGAUGACGGCCUUCGGGUUGUAAACUCCUUUCGCUAGGGACGAAGCUUUUGUGACGGUACCUAGAUAAGAAGCACCGGCGAACUACGUG
rnacentral:rRNA from 1 species